UCUGGCUUAUUUUUAGCUAUGAUUGGUAGACUAGAGACUGCGUUGAUGCUUCUAUUUUCAGUUGCUGGCUUAUGUAUUUGGCCGAAGGUAGUUGCCCUUCAAGAGAUAAGGGAGAAGAUGUUAACUGGCUGUCGAAUUUAAGUGAGGAUUGUGAUAUAAAAACAGAAAACUGGCUGUACUAUAAUGUUUAUCCUGUGGAUAAAAUCAUGGUGCAUUCUUUUUGACAAUCUGUGGUAAUAUAAGAAGCAUUCUGCAAUUCUUAAUCACUUGGGAAAAUAUAUGGCCAAAAUAAUGCUAUCACUUCCCUGGAUGGUUCCUUCUGCUCCGACAUUUGCAGAAUCAAAGCUUUAGCCAGACGGCCAUCACUCUUCACAUGCAGGCGCACACGUGGUGUGUAGUUAGAAUUCUUUUCUUCUACAAUCAGGAGUGGAUAAAAGGGAAAACAAAAGUAUUAGGGCAUUUUAUGAAUUUUGUUUACACUUUACGGAAAGGUGACUGUUGAACCUGUCUGGGGAAAUUAAAUACUCCAUAACCAUUCAUAGAUGUGAUAAGUGCACAUUGAUAGCCACAUGAACACAGUGAUGAAUAUUUCCUCUGAAGAAAUCUAUAGUAGUUUGUUUUUAUCUGAUUUUAUCAGCUAUUUUCAGUUAUGUUACUAUUUCAACAUUUAGAUAUUUAUUGAAUGUACCAUAAAAAUAAA